rnacentral:rRNA from 1 species
UCCGUAGGCGGUGUGGCAAGUCGGAAGUGAAAUCUCUGGGCUUAACCCAGAGGCUGCUUCCGAAACUGCCGUGCUAGAGUGUGAGAGAGGCGAGUGGAAUUGCGGGUGUAGCGGUGAAAUGCGUAGAUAUCCGCAGGAACAUCCGAGGCGAAAGCGGCUCGCUGGAUCACAACUGACGCUGAGGGACGAAAGCUAGGGGAGCAAACAGGAUUAGAUACCCUGGUAGUCCUAGCCCUAAACCAUCAGGACUUGGGGUUUGCCCUGUACGGGGCAAGUCCCGUAGCUAACGCGUUAAGUCCUGCGCCUGGGGAUACGGUCGCAAGGCUGAA